CCUACGGGUGACAGCAGUGAGGAAUAUUGGUCAAUGGACGAGAGUCUGAACCAGCCAAGUAGCGUGAAGGAUGACUGCCCUAUGGGUUGUAAACUUCUUUUAUAUGGGAAUAAAAUGUUCCACGUGUGGGAUUUUGUAUGUACCAUAUGAAUAAGGAUCGGCUAACUCCGUGCCAGCAGCCGCGGUAAUACGGAGGAUCCGAGCGGUAUCCGGAUUUAUUGGGUUUAAAGGGAGCGUAGGUGGAUUGUUAAGUCAGUUGUGAAAGUUUGCGGCUCAACCGUAAAAUUGCAGUUGAAACUGGCAGUCUUGAGUACAGUAGAGGUGGGCGGAAUUCGUGGUGUAGCGGUGAAAUGCUUAGAUAUCACGAAGAACCCCGAUUGCGAAGGCAGUUCACUGGACUGCAACUGACACUGAGGCUCGAAAGUGUGGGUAUCAAACAGGAUUAGAUACCCCUGUAGUC
rnacentral:rRNA from 1 species